rnacentral:rRNA from 1 species
GAUGAACGCUGGCGGCGUGCCUAAUACAUGCAAGUCGAGCGAACCACUUCGGUGGUGAGCGGCGAACGGGUGAGUAACACGUAGGUGAUCUGCCCAUCAGACGGGGACAACGAUUGGAAACGAUCACUAAUACCGGAUAGGACGAAAGUUUAAAGGUGCUUCUGGCACCGCUGAUGGAUGAGCCUGCGGCGCAUUAGCUAGUUGGUAGGGUAAAGGCCUACCAAGGCAACGAUGCGUAGCCGACCUGAGAGGGUGAACGGCCACUCUGGGACUGAGACACGGCCCAGACUCCUACGGGAGGCAGCAGUAGGGAAUCUUCGGCAAUGGGCGAAAGCCUGACCGAGCAACGCCGCGUGAAUGAUGAAGGCCUUCGGGUUGUAAAAUUCUGUUAUAAGGGAAGAACGACUUAGCAGGAAAUGGCUAGAGUGUGACGGUACCUUAUGAGAAAGCCACGGCUAACUACGUGCCAGCCGCCGCGGUAA